rnacentral:rRNA from 1 species
AAAUUGAAGAGUUUGAUCAUGGCUCAGAUUGAACGCUGGCGGCAGGCCUAACACAUGCAAGUCGAACGGUAACAGAAAGCAGCUUGCUGCUUUGCUGACGAGUGGCGGACGGGUGAGUAAUGUCUGGGAAACUGCCUGAUGGAGGGGGAUAACUACUGGAAACGGUAGCUAAUACCGCAUAAUGUCGCAAGACCAAAGAGGGGGACCUUCGGGCCUCUUGCCAUCGGAUGUGCCCAGAUGGGAUUAGCUAGUAGGUGGGGUAACGGCUCACCUAGGCGACGAUCCCUAGCUGGUCUGAGAGGAUGACCAGCCACACUGGAACUGAGACACGGUCCAGACUCCUACGGGAGGCAGCAGUGGGGAAUAUUGCACAAUGGGCGCAAGCCUGAUGCAGCCAUGCCGCGUGUAUGAAGAAGGCCUUCGGGUUGUAAAGUACUUUCAGCGGGGAGGAAGGGAGUAAAGUUAAUACCUUUGCUCAUUGACGUUACCCGCAGAAGAAGCACCGGCUAACUCCGUGCCAGCAGCCGCGGUAAUACGGAGGGUGCAAGCGUUAAUCGGAAUUACUGGGCGUAAAGCGCACGCAGGCGGUUUGUUAAGUCAGAUGUGAAAUCCCCGGGCUCAACCCGGGAACUGCAUCUGAUACUGGCAAGCUUGAGUCUCGUAGAGGGGGUAGAAUUCCAGGUGUAGCGGUGAAAUGCGUAGAGAUCUGGAGGAAUACCGGUGGCGAAGGCGGCCCCCUGGACGAAGACUGACGCUCAGGUGCGAAAGCGUGGGGAGCAAACAGGAUUAGAUACCCUGGUAGUCCACGCCGUAAACGAUGUCGACUUGGAGGUUGUGCCCUUGAGGCGUGGCUUCCGGAGCUAACGCGUUAAGUCGACCGCCUGGGGAGUACGGCCGCAAGGUUAAAACUCAAAUGAAUUGACGGGGGCCCGCACAAGCGGUGGAGCAUGUGGUUUAAUUCGAUGCAACGCGAAGAACCUUACCUGGUCUUGACAUCCACGGAAGUUUUCAGAGAUGAGAAUGUGCCUUCGGGAACCGUGAGACAGGUGCUGCAUGGCUGUCGUCAGCUCGUGUUGUGAAAUGUUGGGUUAAGUCCCGCAACGAGCGCAACCCUUAUCCUUUGUUGCCAGCGGUCCGGCCGGGAACUCAAAGGAGACUGCCAGUGAUAAACUGGAGGAAGGUGGGGAUGACGUCAAGUCAUCAUGGCCCUUACGACCAGGGCUACACACGUGCUACAAUGGCGCAUACAAAGAGAAGCGACCUCGCGAGAGCAAGCGGACCUCAUAAAGUGCGUCGUAGUCCGGAUUGGAGUCUGCAACUCGACUCCAUGAAGUCGGAAUCGCUAGUAAUCGUGGAUCAGAAUGCCACGGUGAAUACGUUCCCGGGCCUUGUACACACCGCCCGUCACACCAUGGGAGUGGGUUGCAAAAGAAGUAGGUAGCUUAACCUUCGGGAGGGCGCUUACCACUUUGUGAUUCAUGACUGGGGUGAAGUCGUAACAAGGUAACCGUAGGGGAACCUGCGGUUGGAUCACCUCCUUA